ACCCCAUGGUGAGGGAGUCUUUGCAAAAGGUCCUUAUAUCUCUCCCAUGCAUCGUAGAGUGUUUCUAAAUCCAUCUGCACAAAAGAAGAGAUAUGAUUACGUAGUUU
rfam:Gossypium arboreum cultivar AKA8401 contig_81180_3, whole genome shotgun sequence.